CCGGAGGUUGCGCUGAGUUUGGCUGCUCGCUGGGUUUUGGAUGUUGGAUUCGACCACUUGAGAUGGAAAUGGUGUGUCACGGUCUGGUCCUUUAUUUUAUGCUGCCACACAUAAAUUGAGAUGGACCUUUAAAUAAAGCCUUUGUGAUACAAGUUAACCCUGGCAAGAA